rnacentral:misc_RNA from 1 species
AUUUUUUGGUGAAUUGGAAUUUUGACAGUUAGAUAUAGCUUUCAUAGAAUUUGGUUCUGAUGAAGAUAAUUCCGUUUGUAUGCAUGUUUGCCUGUCUCUAACUUAGAUUAUUUAGAGGCUUAGAGAAAGUCUUAUGAAUUGAAAGACACAUUUUGUUAGUGGAAGCACUGUUUUCCUAGGUAAUUGAAAGUCAAAAUAUCUUUUCUUUAAGAAAGAACUUGUGUUUCAAUUUUAUUUUGUUUAUGGGUUCUCAGAGAUGCAAGCCCAAAAACCAUUUUUUGUUUCCCAUUUCAGUGAAAUUGUUUUUGUCAGCUUAAAGUUUGGGUCAAUUUAUCACUUGGGCAGUGGGUUAGGGUAUAGUUGAACUACAAAAGAAAUAAUCAAGAUCAUCAAUGAUUAAUUAUUUGAACUACAAAAUAAAUAAUCAAAAUUCUGAAUGAUUAAUUAUUGAUAUACCAAUUAUUAUUUAAUUUCUAUUAAUUGAAAUAAGAGUAGAAAGUGCCACAGAUAAAGGAAAGAAGAAUUGGGUGAAAAAUUUUUAAUAUGGACAAUGGAGGAAAAUCCUCAUGACUGCAAUAGGAGUUCUACAUCUAAACUGCCAUUUGGUAUCUUCUAAUCACUGGGCAUGGUUUCAUACAAAGGUUAUUACAUUAUAUAACAG